CAUCAGGGUUUUUUCCAAUGAGUCAGCCAGAAUACUGGAGCCAAAAUUCAGCAUCAGUUCUACCCCUGAAUGUUCAGGGUUGAUUUCCUUUAGGAUUGACUGAUUUGACCUCCUUGCAGUCCAGGGUACUCUCAAAAGUCUUCCUCAGCUCCACAAUUC